rnacentral:rRNA from 1 species
UACGUAGGGAGCAAGCGUUGUUCGGAUUUACUGGGCGUAAAGGGCGCGUAGGCGGCGCGGUAAGUCACUUGUGAAAUCUCUGAGCUUAACUCAGAACGGCCAAGUGAUACUGCAGUGCUAGAGUGCAGAAGGGGCAAUCGGAAUUCUUGGUGUAGCGGUGAAAUGCGUAGAUAUCGAGAGGAACACCAGUGGCGAAGGCGGCGACCUGGGCAGAUACUGACGCUGAGGUGCGAAAGCGUGGGGAGCAAACAGG